GGAAGCGUGGCCGAGUGGUUGAAGGCACCGCUCUCGAAAAGCGGCAUACCGGCAACGGUAUCGGAGGUUCGAAUCCUCCCGCUUCCGCCA
rnacentral:tRNA from 2 species